AAACGCGAGCCAAAAAGGAGAGUUAGGCGGUUGAAAAUGACCCCACGCCUCUAUAUAUAAAUAAUAAAAUUUGCUCUUUCCAAAACAGAUUGCCCACACGACUGAGAGUUUCUUCUUCGGUUCUCUCUCUCUCUCUCUCGACGAAAAUCUUCUUUUCCUCUUAUCUCGCCAUGGAUCCCUACAAGGUAUUCUCUCAAUCUCUAUUCGAAAGAAAAAUCCUUUGCUUUCGAUAUCUAUUUUUUUGCUGAUUGUUUUUUAUAAUCUGAUCUGUAUGAUUGCAUAAGAUUUCUUUUGAUUUUCUAAAAAAAUGAUUUUUCUUUUUGUUGUUUCAUUUGAUUCAUAGACUGCUAUCUUUCCUGCGAAGCUU
rnacentral:lncRNA from 1 species